GGGGAUUGAUCCCCGGGCGUAAAAUUUUAGUGGGCGUAAUUUUUUGUGGGUCUUGAAAAACAAAAAUAAAAUUAUAUAUUAUGGCGUAAAAUAAUUAUUCGUCAUUCUAUUAUGAGAUCGCGUAGCUGCGCGAUCGGCGUGCGUCGGCGGUCGACAGUACAUAUAGAUUAUAGAGACAGGCUAAUAAUACAAAUUAAAUAUAAACGAUUGUAUUUAUUAGUGAUUCAAUCGUAAAUAUAAAAUAUAUAUUAAUUGAUAUGAACGUUUUCGUCGACGCACGGCGACGAUGCGAACAAAAAUAGCAAACAAUUAAUUACCACAGUCCACAGUGAUAAUUCUGUCAUUUGCCAUUUGAAAGCGCGGCCGACCUAGCGGAAUAGCCAUUACUCAGUAUAGUACAUCAUAUUUUUAGUUAAAGGUAUUACCUAACUCCUCCGGAGAUCCCCUAACGCGGAAGACGUCGAGGAACUGCUGAGCGGCCCCCGAGUAGACGCACUACCCGACGACCAACCAUCCCGGUCCAGGCUUCUCGCCCAGGCAGCGACGAACAGGCUGGAGCUCAUCUCAAUGAUUGAGUCAAUCCUAAGCGCAAAAGAAGAAGACGAGCGAGAAGAACAGGGGAACGGAUAACCGACCAACCUGUACCCAAGAUGAAGAACGGUCCGAUCUUUCCCCCUAUUCGCUCAACCGCGAAACGUCGGAGGUUAGGUUAGGAACCGCACCGCUGACACAGCCGACGAUGAAGAACGGACCGAAGACACUCUUCGCAGUCGCAACAGCGACACGUCGGAGGUGUCACCGACCACCGCUCUUCAUCCCCCACACAUUUAAAAUGUUGUAAUUUAUUCAAUAAAAUAAAAAAAAAUUAAAAUGAA